rnacentral:rRNA from 1 species
UAUGUAGGUCCCGAGCGUUGUCCGGAUUUAUUGGGCGUAAAGCGAGCGCAGGUGGUUAAUUAAGUCUGAUGUGAAAGCCCACGGCUUAACCGUGGAGGGUCAUUGGAAACUGGUUGACUUGAGUGCAGAAGAGGGAAGUGGAAUUCCAUGUGUAGCGGUGAAAUGCGUAGAGAUAUGGAGGAACACCAGUGGCGAAGGCGGCUUCCUGGUCUGCAACUGACACUGAGGCGCGAAAGCGUGGGGAGCAAACAGG